GACGAACGCUGGCGGCGUGCUUAACACAUGCAAGUCGAACGAAGAGCGAUGGAAGCUUGCUUCUAUCAAUCUUAGUGGCGAACGGGUGAGUAACGCGUAAUCAACCUGCCCUUCAGAGGGGGACAACAGUUGGAAACGACUGCUAAUACCGCAUACGAUCUAAUCUCGGCAUCGAGGAUAGAUGAAAGGUGGCCUCUACAUGUAAGCUCUCACUGAAGGAGGGGCUUGCGUCUGAUUAGCUAGUUGGAGGGGUAACGGCCCACCAAGGCGAUGAUCAGUAGCCGGUCUGAGAGGAUGAACGGCCACAUUGGGACUGAGACACGGCCCAGACUCCUACGGGAGGCAGCAGUGGGGAAUCUUCCGCAAUGGACGAAAGUCUGACGGAGCAACGCCGCGUGAGCGAUGACGGCCUUCGGGUUGUAAAGCUCUGUUAAUCGGGACGAAAGGCCUUCUUGCGAAUAGUGAGAAGGAUUGACGGUACCGGAAUAGAAAGCCACGGCUAACUACGUG
rnacentral:rRNA from 1 species